rnacentral:rRNA from 1 species
CAACGAUCAGUAGCCGACCUGAGAGGGUGACCGGCCACAUUGGGACUGAGACACGGCCCAAACUCCUACGGGAGGCAGCAGUGGGGAAUAUUGCACAAUGGGGGAAACCCUGAUGCAGCGACGCCGCGUGAGCGAAGAAGUAUUUCGGUAUGUAAAGCUCUAUCAGCAGGGAAGAAAAUGACGGUACCUGACUAAGAAGCACCGGCUAAAUACGUGCCAGCAGCCGCGGUAAUACGUAUGGUGCAAGCGUUAUCCGGAUUUACUGGGUGUAAAGGGAGCGUAGACGGCUGUGUAAGUCUGAAGUGAAAGCCCGGGGCUCAACCCCGGGACUGCUUUGGAAACUAUGCAGCUAGAGUGUCGGAGAGGUAAGUGGAAUUCCCAGUGUAGCGGUGAAAUGCGUAGAUAUUGGGAGGAACACCAGUGGCGAAGGCGGCUUACUGGACGAUGACUGACGUUGAGGCUCGAAAGCGUGGGGAGCAAACAGGAUUAGAUACCCUGGUAGUCC